rnacentral:rRNA from 1 species
GACGUAGGUGGCGAGCGUUGUUCGGAAUCACUGGGCAUAAAGCGCACGUAGGCGGCCAAGUCAGUCAGGUGUGAAAUACCUCGGCUCAACCGAGGAACUGCGCCUGAUACUGCUUGGCUUGAGGUCCGGAGGGGAGAGUGGAAUUCCCGGUGGAGCGGUGAAAUGCGUAGAGAUCGGGAAGAACGCCGGCGGCGAAAGCGACUCUCUGGUCGGAAUCUGACGCUGAGGUGCGAAAGCUAGGGGAGCAAACGGGG